UACGAGGGGGGCUAGCGUUGUUCGGAAUUACUGGGCGUAAAGCGCGCGUAGGCGGACGCUUAAGUCAGGGGUGAAAGGCCGGGGCUCAACCCCGGAACGGCCUCUGAUACUGGGUGUCUGGAGUCCGGAAGAGGUUGGUGGAAUUCCGAGUGUAGAGGUGAAAUUCGUAGAUAUUCGGAGGAACACCAGAGGCGAAGGCGGCCAACUGGUCCGGUACUGACGCUGAGGCGCGAAAGCGUGGGGAGCAAACAGG
rnacentral:rRNA from 1 species